rnacentral:rRNA from 1 species
UCAGGAUGAACGCUGGCGGCGUGCCUAACACAUGCAAGUCGAACGGAGAUUUAACGCUGAUGAGGCUUCGGCGGAAUCUUGUCAAAUCUAGUGGCGGACGGGUGAGUAACGCGUGGGCAACCUGCCUCGGUACUGGGGGAUAACAGUUGGAAACGACUGUUAAUACCGCAUAAGCGCACGGUGUCGCAUGACACAGUGUGAAAAACUCCGGUGGUACGAGAUGGGCCCGCGUCAGAUUAGCCAGUUGGUGGGGUAACGGCCUACCAAAGCAACGAUCUGUAGCCGGACUGAGAGGUCGGACGGCCACAUUGGGACUGAGACACGGCCCAAACUCCUACGGGAGGCAGCAGUGGGGGAUAUUGCACAAUGGGCGAAAGCCUGAUGCAGCGACGCCGCGUGAAGUGAAGAAGUAUUUCGGUAUGUAAAGCUCUAUCAGCAGGGAAGAAAGACUCGUAAGAGAGAUGACGGUACCUGACUAAGAAGCCCCGGCUAACUACGUGCCAGCAGCGGC